GGCCAAAUAGCUCAGUGGUAGAGCACCCUGUAUACAAUGGGGAGGUCCCAGGUUCAAUCCCUGGUCUGGUCA